rnacentral:rRNA from 1 species
AUAUUUGACAAAGGGCGAAAGCCUGAUCCAGCCAUGCUGCGCGUGUGAAGAAGGUCUGCUGAUUGUAUAGCACUCUAUGUUGGGGGGAGGGGUUGUAGAUUAAUACUCUGAAAUUUUGACGUUACCGACAGAAUAAGAACCGGUUAACUUCAUUCGAGCAGCCGCGGUAAUAUGAAGGGAGCAUGCGUUAAUCGGAAUUACUUGGCGUAAAGAGCGCGUAGGUGGUUCGUUAAGUUGGAUGUGAAAGCCCCGGGCUCAACCUGGGAACUGCAUCCAAAACUGGCGAGCUAGAGUACGGUAGAGGGUGGUGGAAUUUCCUGUGUAGCGGUGAAAUGCGUAGAUAUAGGAAGGAACACCAGUGGCGAAGGCGACCACCUGGACUGAUACUGACACUGAGGUGCGAAAGCGUGGGGAGCAAAAAGG